rnacentral:misc_RNA from 1 species
AGGUGAGAGCUGGUGGGCAUUGGGCCAAAAGCCUCGAGUCGGCCUUCGUGCUUGACUUAUGUUGCUCAAGGCUUGAUGUUGAAGGCCUCCUAAGCUGCCUCCUGAGUGGUGACUUCGAUUUUGGUGAUCCCACAUCGGGGGAACUGUGACAACGUCUUGAUAUUCAAAUUGGUUCUCUUCGUAUCGUGCGGUACAUUCUGGGGUCGUAUUUGGCUUCUGGUUGUUUGCUUGGCUCUUUUGCCUUGCGGAUGGCUGUUUCCCAAGGCGGCUUCGGGGAUGUCUAUCGUAAAGGUGCAUGAGUGGUGUUUGGUUUGAUACGGGUGGUUGGCUCCCUGCUUGAGCAGGCACGACCACGCGUACAUUCCUUUUCAGUUGUGCGGCAAGGCUUGUAUUGUCUUGAUCGUAUAUGUGGGUUUCCUGUGUUGCAUACCUGAUCAACGGCAUCAUUUUGAUAAAAAAACGUACCAUUUUCGUCCGGUGUUGCACCUGCAAUGUCGGGUGAACCAUGUAGCAUCCUCUUUGAUCCAUAUAGUCGACGAGCAUUCGUUGAUUGUUUGGCCCAUUGAGUGGUGGCUUGGUCUCUCGAAUAUGGAAGCCAAAGUGGGCAUGGGUUCGUAUGAUCCUUUUAUUGCCCUUGUUGAGCGUUCUCGCUUCUCUUACACGACCGCCUUUCACGUAUGGCACGUCCCAGCGUGUUUGGCUACGUCGAAGAGGAAUGC